rnacentral:rRNA from 1 species
AAAUUGAAGAGUUUGAUCAUGGCUCAGAUUGAACGCUGGCGGCAGGCCUAACACAUGCAAGUCGAACGGUAACAGGAAGAAGCUUGCUCUUUGCUGACGAGUGGCGGACGGGUGAGUAAUGUCUGGGAAACUGCCUGAUGGAGGGGGAUAACUACUGGAAACGGUAGCUAAUACCGCAUAACGUCGCAAGACCAAAGAGGGGGACCUUCGGGCCUCUUGCCAUCGGAUGUGCCCAGAUGGGAUUAGCUAGUAGGUGGGGUAACGGCUCACCUA